rnacentral:rRNA from 1 species
CAGUCGCCGCGGGAAAACGGAGGGUGCAAGCGUUAAUCGGAAUUACUGGACGUAAGGCGUGCGUAGGCGGUUCGUUAAGUCUGUUGUGAAAGCCCCGGGCUCAACCUGGGAAUGGCAAUGGAUACUGGCGAGCUAGAGUGUGUCAGAGGAUGGUGGAAUUCCCGGUGUAGCGGUGAAAUGCGUAGAGAUCGGGAGGAACAUCAGUGGCGAAGGCGGCCAUCUGGGACAACACUGACGCUGAGGCACGAAAGCGUGGGGAGCAAACAGGAUUAGAUACCCCCGUAGUCCCUGUCUCUUAUAC